AUACGAACGGCCCGAGCGUUAAGCGGAUUCAUUGGGCUUAAAGGGUGCGUAGGCGGGAACGUAAGUAUCAUGUGAAAUCCCACGGCUCAACCGUGGAACUGCAUGGUAUACUGCGUUCCUUGAGGUCGGUAGGGGCUGUCGGAACUCUAGGUGUAGCGGUGAAAUGCGUAGAUAUCUAGAGGAACGCCAAUGGCGAAGGCAGACAGCUGGGCCGAUUCUGACGCUGAGGCACGAAAGCGUGGGUAGCGAACAGGAUUAGAUACCCCAGUAGUCC
rnacentral:rRNA from 1 species